ensembl:snRNA U6 U6 spliceosomal RNA
AUGCUUGCUUCAGCAGCACAUAUACUAAAAAAUUGGAAUGAUACCGAGAAGUUUAGCAGGCCCAUUGUGCAAGGAUGAUAUGCAAAUUCAUGAAGUCCAUCAUAUUUUU